UACGUAGGGGGCAAGCGUUGUCCGGAUUUAUUGGGCGUAAAGAGCGUGUAGGCGGCCGUACAGGUCAGCUGUGAAAACUCGAGGCUCAACCUCGAGACGUCGGUUGAAACCGUACGGCUAGAGUCCGGAAGAGGAGAGUGGAAUUCCCGGUGUAGCGGUGAAAUGCGCAGAUAUCGGGAAGAACACCAGUGGCGAAGGCGGCUUCCGGGCCUGUAACUGACGCUGAGACGCGAAAGCGUGGGGAGCGAACCGG
rnacentral:rRNA from 1 species